rnacentral:rRNA from 1 species
CCUACGGGAGGCAGCAGUGAGGAAUAUUGGUCAAUGGGCGUAAGCCUGAACCAGCCAAGUCGCGUGAGGGAAGACUGCCCUAUGGGUUGUAAACCUCUUUUGUCAGGGAGCAACGCCGGCUACGUGUAGCCGGACUGAGAGUACCUGAAGAAAAAGCAUCGGCAAACCCCGUGCCAGCAGCCGCGGUAAUACGGAGGAUGCGAGCGUGAUCCGGAUUUAUUGGGUUGAAGGGGUGCGUAGGCGGAAUGCCAAGUCACCGGUAAAAUCGCGGGGCUCAACCUCGCUCCGCCGUUGAAACUGGCGUGCUUGAGUGGGCGAGAAGUAUGCGGAAUGCGUGGUGUAGCGGUGAAAUGCAUAGAUAUCACGCAGAACUCCGAUUGCGAAGGCAGCAUACCGGCGCCCAACUGACGCUGAAGCACGAAAGCGUGGGUAUCGAACAGGAUUAGAUACCCUGGUAGUC